rnacentral:rRNA from 1 species
GACGAACGCUGGCGGCGUGCUUAACACAUGCAAGUCGAACGGAAAGGCCCUGCUUUUGUGGGGUGCUCGAGUGGCGAACGGGUGAGUAACACGUGAGUAACCUGCCCUUGACUUUGGGAUAACUUCAGGAAACUGGGGCUAAUACCGGAUAGGAGCUCCUGCUGCAUGGUGGGGGUUGGAAAGUUUCGGCGGUUGGGGAUGGACUCGCGGCUUAUCAGCUUGUUGGUGGGGUAGUGGCUUACCAAGGCUUUGACGGGUAGCCGGCCUGAGAGGGUGACCGGCCACAUUGGGACUGAGAUACGGCCCAGACUCCUACGGGAGGCAGCAGUGGGGAAUAUUGCACAAUGGGCGGAAGCCUGAUGCAGCAACGCCGCGUGCGGGAUGACGGCCUUCGGGUUGUAAACCGCUUUCGCCUGUGACGAAGCGUGAGUGACGGUAAUGGGUAAAGAAGCACCGGCUAACUACGUGCCAGCAGCCGCGGUGAUACGUAGGGUGCGAGCGUUGUCCGGAUUUAUUGGGCGUAAAGGGCUCGUAGGUGGUUGAUCGCGUCGGAAGUGUAAUCUUGGGGCUUAACCCUGAGCGUGCUUUCGAUACGGGUUGACUUGAGGAAGGGUAGGGGAGAAUGGAAUUCCUGGUGGAGCGGUGGAAUGCGCAGAUAUCAUGAGGAACACCAGUGGCGAAGGCGGUUCUCUGGGCCUUUCCUGACGCUGAGGAGCGAAAGCGUGGGGAGCGAACAGGCUUAGAUACCCUGGUAGUCCACGCUGUAAACGGUGGGUACUAGGUGUGGGGUCCAUUCCACGGGUUCCGUGCCGUAGCUAACGCUUUAAGUACCCCGCCUGGGGAGUACGGCCGCAAGGCUAAAACUCAAAGGAAUUGACGGGGCCCCGCACAAGCGGCGGAGCAUGCGGAUUAAUUCGAUGCAACGCGUAGAACCUUACCUGGGUUUGACAUGGAUCGGGAGUGCUCAGAGAUGGGUGUGCCUCUUUUGGGGUCGGUUCACAGGUGGUGCAUGGCUGUCGUCAGCUCGUGUCGUGAGAUGUUGGGUUAAGUCCCGCAACGAGCGCAACCCUUGUUCACUGUUGCCAGCACGUUAUGGUGGGGACUCAGUGGAGACCGCCGGGGUCAACUCGGAGGAAGGUGGGGAUGACGUCAAGUCAUCAUGCCCCUUAUGUCCAGGGCUUCACGCAUGCUACAAUGGCUGGUACAGAGAGUGGCGAGCCUGUGAGGGUGAGCGAAUCUCGGAAAGCCGGUCUCAGUUCGGAUUGGGGUCUGCAACUCGACCUCAUGAAGUCGGAGUCGCUAGUAAUCGCAGAUCAGCAACGCUGCGGUGAAUACGUUCCCGGG